rnacentral:rRNA from 1 species
ACGUAGGGUGCAAGCGUUAAUCGGAAUUACUGGGCGUAAAGCGUGCGCAGGCGGUUUCGUAAGUCUGUCGUGAAAGCCCCGGGCUUAACCUGGGAAUGGCCGUCGAAACUGGCGAACUGGAGUGUGGCAGAGGGGGGUGGAAUUCCGCGUGUAGCAGUGAAAUGCGUAGAGAUACGGAGGAACACCGAUGGCGAAGGCAGCCCCCUGGGCUGACACUGACGCUCAGGCACGAAAGCGUGGGGAGCAAACAGGA